rnacentral:rRNA from 1 species
AGAGUUUGAUCUUGGCUCAGAUUGAACGCUGGCGGCAUGCUUUACACAUGCAAGUCGAACGGCAGCACGGGGGCAACCCUGGUGGCGAGUGGCGAACGGGUGAGUAAUGCAUCGGAACGUGUCCUGUAAUGGGGGAUAACCUAGCGAAAGUUAGGCUAAUACCGCAUACGUCCUGAGGGAGAAAGCGGGGGAUCGUAAGACCUCGUGUUAUAGGAGCGGCCGAUGUCGGAUUAGCUAGUUGGUGGGGUAAAGGCCUACCAAGGCGACGAUCCGUAGCGGGUCUGAGAGGACGGCCCGCCACACUGGGACUGAGACACGGCCCAGACUCCUACGGGAGGCAGCAGUGGGGAAUUUUGGACAAUGGGGGCAACCCUGAUCCAGCCAUGCCGCGUGAGUGAAGAAGGCCUUCGGGUUGUAAAGCUCUUUCGGCCGGGAAGAAAUCGUGCGGGCUAAUACCCUGUAUGGAUGACGGUACCGGAAGAAGAAGCACCGGCUAACUACGUGCCAGCAGCCGCGGUAAUACGUAGGUGCGAGCUUAAUCGGAAUUACUGGCGUAAGCGUGCCAGGCGGUUCUAAGACAGAUGUAAAUCCCGGGUUAACUGGGAAUGUUUUGUACUGCAGAUGAUGCGCAAAGGGG